GGUUCCUUAGAUCGUACAUUACUACUUGGAUAACUGUGGUAAUUCUAGAGCUAAUACAUGCAUCAGGGUCCCGACCCUCCUCGCGGGGGAAAGGGCGCUUUUAUUAGACCAAAACCAGUCGGACUUCGGUCCGUCAAUUUCUGUGGUGACUCUGUAUAACUUUGGGCGGAUCGCACGGGCUCGUCCCGGCGACAAAUCUUUCAAGUGUCUGCCUUAUCAACUGUCGAUGGUAAGUUACGCGCUUACCAUGGUCGUAACGGGUAACGGGGAAUUAGGGUUCGAUUCCGGAGAGGGAGCCUGAGAAACGGCUACCACAUCCAAGGAAGGCAGCAGGCGCGCAAAUUACCCAAUCCCGGCACGGGGAGGUAGUGACGAAAAAUAACAAUACGGGACUCUUUUGAGACCCCGUAAUUGGAAUGAGUACAGCCUAAAUCCUUUGGCGAGGAUCAAUUGGAGGGCAAGUCUGGUGCCAGCAGCCGCGGUAAUUCCAGCUCCAAUAGCGUAUAUUAAAGUUGUUGCGGUUGAAAAGCUCGUAGUUGGAUCUCAGUUACGGACGGGAGGUGCGCCUAACGGCGUCCCACUUCCCGGCUUCAGCAGCAACGCCGGUUUCCCCCGAUGAUCUUCACCGGUUGUCUCGGGUGACCGGCACGUUUACUUUGAAAAAAUUAGAGUGCUCAAAGCAGGCUAAAAUUGCCGGAAUAAUGGUGCAUGGAAUAAUGGAAAAAGACUCUCGGUCCCAUUUUGUUGGUUUUUAGGGACCCGAGGUAAUGAUUAAGAGGGACAGACGGGGGCAUUCGUAUUGCGACGCUAGAGGUGAAAUUCUUGGACCGUCGCAAGACGAACUACUGCGAAAGCAUUUGCCAAGAAUGUUUUCUUUAAUCAAGAACGAAAGUUAGAGGUUCGAAGGCGAUCAGAUACCGCCCUAGUUCUAACCAUAAACGAUGCCAACUAGCAAUCCGCCUGAGUUCCUCAAAUGACUCGGCGGGCGGCUUCCGGGAAACCAAAGUGUUUGGGUUCCGGGGGAAGUAUGGUUGCAAAGCUGAAACUUAAAGGAAUUGACGGAAGGGCACCACCAGGAGUGGAGCCUGCGGCUUAAUUUGACUCAACACGGGAAAACUUACCCGGCCCGGACACUGGAAGGAUUGACAGAUUAAGAGCUCUUUCUUGAUUCAGUGGGUGGUGGUGCAUGGCCGUUCUUAGUUGGUGGAGCGAUUUGUCUGCUUAAUUGCGAUAACGAACGAGAUUCUAGCCUAUUAAAUAGGCGGCAUAUCCGAUCACUUACAAAGUCGGACGAUCUUCUUAGAGGGACAAGCGGCGUUUAGCCGCACGAAACGGAGCAAUAACAGGUCUGUGAUGCCCUUAGAUGUCCGGGGCCGCACGCGCGCUACACUGAAGGAAUCAGCGUGUGUUUUCCCUGUCCGGAAGGACUGGGUAACCCGCUCAACCUCCUUCGUGCUAGGGAUAGGAGCUUGGAAUUCUUCUCCUUGAACGAGGAAUUCCCAGUAAGCACGAGUCAUAAGCUCGUGCUGAUUAAGUCCCUGCCCUUUGUACACACCGCCCGUCGCUACUACCGAUUGAAUGAUUUAGU
rnacentral:rRNA from 1 species